rnacentral:rRNA from 1 species
GACGAACGCUGGCGGCGUGCCUAAUACAUGCAAGUUGAGCGCUGAAGGUUGGUACUUGUACCAACUGGAUGAGCAGCGAACGGGUGAGUAACGCGUGGGGAAUCUGCCUUUGAGCGGGGGACAACAUUUGGAAACGAAUGCUAAUACCGCAUAAAAACUUUAAACACAAGUUUUAAGUUUGAAAGAUGCAAUUGCAUCACUCAAAGAUGAUCCCGCGUUGUAUUAGCUAGUUGGUGAGGUAAAGGCUCACCAAGGCGAUGAUACAUAGCCGACCUGAGAGGGUGAUCGGCCACAUUGGGACUGAGACACGGCCCAAACUCCUACGGGAGCCAGCAGUAGGGAAUCUUCGGCAAUGGACGAAAGUCUGACCGAGCAACGCCGCGUGAGUGAAGAAGGUUUUCGGAUCGUAAAACUCUGUUGGUAGAGAAGAACGUUGGUGAGAGUGGAAAGCUCAUCAAGUGACGGUAACUACCCAGAAAGGGACGGCUAACUACGU